rnacentral:rRNA from 1 species
UACGGAGGGUGCAAGCGUUAUCCGGAUUCACUGGGUUUAAAGGGUGCGUAGGUGGGCAAGUAAGUCAGUGGUGAAAUCUCCGGGCUUAACCCGGAAACUGCCAUUGAUACUAUUUGUCUUGAAUACUGUGGAGGUCAGCGGAAUAUGUCAUGUAGCGGUGAAAUGCUUAGAUAUGACAUAGAAAACCAAUUGCGAAGGCAGCUGGCUACACAAAUAUUGACACUGAGGCACGAAAGCGUGGGGAUCAAACAGG